CAGGGUUAUGGGUUAGAAUGAAGGUUAGAUUGAGGGUUAGGGUUAGAGUGAGGGUUAGAAUUAAAAUGAGGGUUAGGUGCAGGGUUCUGGGCUAGAAUGAGGGUUAGGUUCAGGGUUAUGGUUAAAAUGAGGGUUAGGUUCAGGGUGCGGGGUUAGAAUAAGGGUUAGAUAGAGGGUUAUUGGUUAGAAUGAGGGUUAUGGGAUAGAAUGAAGGUUAGGUUCAUGGUUAUGGCUUAGAAUGAGGGUUAGGUUCAGGGUUAUGGGUUAUAAUGAGGGUUAGAUAGAGGGUUAUUGGUUAGAAUGAGGGUUAGAUUGAGGGUUAUGGAAUAUAAUUAAUGUUAGGUUCAGGGUUAUCGGUUAGAAUGAGGGUUAGAAUGAGGGUUAGAUUGAGGGUUAGGUUCAGGGUUAUGGGUUAGAAUGAGGGUUAGAUUGAGGGUUAGGGUUAGAUUGAGGGUUAUAAUGAGGGUUAGAUAGAGGGUUAUUGGUUAGAAUCAGGGUUAUGGGAUAGAAUGAAGGUUAGGUUCAGGGUUAUGGCUUAGAAUGAGGGUUGGGUUCAGGGUUAUGGGUUAGAAUGAAGGUUAGAUUGAGGGUUAUGGG
ensembl:lncRNA